UGGUCCAGAUAAAGACCGCUGGGGUUUUGAUAUUUAGGAAUCACGUCCACGGAAGAGCUGGAGUUGAGACUUGAUUGCUUCAUGGACAAAUUACCUGCAGAAGCUGGACUGGAAGUGUUGUAAUAUCAGAAAAUGCUGCUUCCGGUGGUAUUUGUAACCAGGAACAGAAGCUGAAGUGUCUGAAACCACCGGAGAAAGCCCCUGCUCUCCUGAGAGCUGUUCUCUAAUUUUGCUGGCAGAGAGCGUUGGAUCAGUGAUCAGAAAGUUAAAAUGGCAGAUGUUGGGGCUUCUAGGGGGAGGGGAGGCAGAUACCUGAUACUCUCCGGCAUUUGUUUUUUUAUCCUUCCCAUUACCUUCCUUUCUCAGAUCACAAUAUUAAAACAGAGCUGUUGUCCACUUUUCUAAGGCCACACAGCCAAAUGCUGGCACAACAGCAAACAAACAAACAAAAACAACCAGCCCCAGGACCUGCCUCUCGGACUGUAUCGUGACUCUCCUGACAUUUCUCCAACACAGCCGCGGACCUCAAUACUUUUUACAAAUAUCACCAAAAGCUAAUCAAUAACAGGCAGAUACCACACGUCA